rnacentral:lncRNA from 1 species
AAAAGCAGCCAACAUGAGAUUGGCUCAGUACAAGUGCAUUACAGGCAUGGAAAGAAGUAUGUUGGGCUUUAGAUUAGAAAUUAAAUCUUCACCUAAUGUCAUAUGGACUCAAAAGUAGGAGGAAAAUAGUAGAAAGAAAGAGUAUAAUAGAGGCAAUAAACCUUACAAACAGAAGAACAACAUGAAGAACAACCAGAAUAGAAGUGCCACUUCAUCAUUGUCCUACC